GCCUCCGUAGCAAAACGGUAAUGCCGGGGACCUAAGCUCCCCUAUAAGAAGUUCGACUCUUCUCGAAGGUU
rnacentral:tRNA from 1 species